rnacentral:tRNA from 2 species
UCCUGGUUAGCUUAGUUGGUAGAGCUCUCCACUGAAAAUGGGGAGGUUCCUGGUUCGAUACCAGGGCCAAGCG